rnacentral:rRNA from 1 species
UACGUAGGGUGCGAGCGUUGCCCGGAUUUAUUGGGCGUAAAGGGCGCGUAGGCGGCUCUGCACGUCCGUUGUGAAAUCGCCCGGCUCAACUGGGCGGGGUCAGCGGAUACGGCAGAGCUCGAGCAAGCUAGGGGGCAAUGGAAUUCCCGGUGUAGUGGUGAAAUGCGUAGAGAUCGGGAGGAACACCAGUGGCGAAGGCGGCCAUCUGGAUCAACACUGACGCUGAGGCACGAAAGCGUGGGGAGCAAACAGG